ACUCAAAGGAAUUGACGGGGGCUCACACAAGCGGUGGAGCAUGUGGAUCAAUUCGAAGCAACGCGAAGAACCUUACCUGGGUUUGACAUGCAUGGAUGCCCUCGACGAAAGUUGAGUAAGCUGCCUUUGGUGAAACAUGCACAGGUGCUGCAUGGCUGUCGUCAGCUCGUGCUGUGAAGUGUCGGGUUAAGUCCCUUAACGAGCGAAACCCUUAUCGCUAGUUGCCAGCGGGUCAUGCCGGGAACUCUAGUGAGACUGCCGGCGUCAAGCCGGAGGAAGGUGGGGACGACGUCAAGUCAUCAUGGCCUUUAUGCCCAGGGCGUCACACGUGCUACAAUGGGGUGGUACAGAGCGAUGCGAGACCGCAAGGUGGAGCAAAUCGCAGAAAACACCCCUCAGUUCGGAUUGAGGUCUGCAACCCGACCUCAUGAAGCUGGAAUCGCUAGUAAUCGCGUAUCAGCCAUGACGCGGUGAAUAUGUUCCUGAGCCUUGUACACACCGCCCGU
rnacentral:rRNA from 1 species